rnacentral:rRNA from 1 species
UACGUAGGGUGCGAGCGUUGUCCGGAAUUAUUGGGCGUAAAGAGCUCGUAGGCGGUCUGUCGCGUCGGCUGUGAAAACUCGGGGCUCAACCCCGAGCCUGCAGCCGAUACGGGCAGACUAGAGUUCGGCAGGGGAGACUGGAAUUCCUGGUGUAGCGGUGAAAUGCGCAGAUAUCAGGAGGAACACCGGCGGCGAAGGCGGGUCUCUGGGCCGAUACUGACGCUGAGGAGCGAAAGCGUGGGGAGCGAACAGG